rnacentral:rRNA from 1 species
GUAGGUGGCAAGCGUUGUCCGGAAUUAUUGGGCGUAAAGCGCGCGCAGGCGGUUCUUUAAGUCUGAUGUGAAAGCCCACGGCUCAACCGUGGAGGGUCAUUGGAAACUGGAGAACUUGAGUACAGAAGAGGAAAGCGGAAUUCCACGUGUAGCGGUGAAAUGCGUAGAGAUGUGGAGGAACACCAGUGGCGAAGGCGGCUUUCUGGUCUGUAACUGACGCUGAGGCGCGUAAGCGUGGGGGAGCAAACAGGAUUAGAUACCCUGGUAGUCCACGCCGUAAACGAUGAGUGCUAAGUGUUAGGGGGUUUCCGCCCCUUAGUGCUGCAGCUAACGCAUUAAGCACUCCGCCUGGGAGUACGGCCGCAAGGCUG